rnacentral:rRNA from 1 species
AUUGGCACAAAACGCCAUGCACGUCUAAGUACAACUAAAUGAGAGGAACUGCAAUGAGCUCAUUACAACGGUUAUGACGACCCGGGAGUUCCGAGGAUAUUUCAGUAACACUAGAAUAAUACACGUCCCCGCGUUUAUAGUUUCGCACAGUCCGUCGCUGAGUCACGGUAAACAGUUGAUCGACUCGACGUCCCGGAACAGUUUCCGCCCCAUCAGCUUCGAUGGUUGGGUAUCGGCCUACCAUUGCAACAACGGGUAACGAGGAAUUAGGGUUUGAUUUCGGAGAGGGAGCCUGAGAAACGGCUACCACAUCUACGGAUGGCAGCAGGCGCGCAAAUUACCCAAUGCAGACACUGUGAGGUAGUGACGAGAAAUAAUAAAGCGGGACUUCUGUUUCGCUAUUAUAAUGAGGAAUAACCAAAGGGUCAUUCCGAUUAGCAACUGAUGGGGAAAGUCUGGGUGCCAGCAGCCGCGGUAAUACCAGCGUCAGUAGCAUAUAU